rnacentral:lncRNA from 1 species
CUGCAUCUGCCACAGGCAGGUAAACAUGCAGAGUGGUGCUAUUAGGAUGGCAGGGACCAUACUUGACUUUAAUACUGUCUCAAAGCUGCUUGGGAGGCCAAGUCUCUUGUGGACUUCCCAGAGUGCAGUGGAGCACCCUUCCUUAUUCAGGAUCCUCUCCCUCCCUCAAGGAUUUGAGUGUCUACCUGAUCAGCUAUGAAUCAGAAUACAGGUUGAUUCAGAUUUGACAUGACAUUCCCAAGAUGGAAAGCUAUUCUGAAUUCUUGGACAUAAAACUGAUGCUUACGUGAGACUUGAGAGUUAAUUUAUCCUUUAACUCGAGGAAUUACUAAACCAACUGAACCAAAAAAAAAAAAAAAAAAAAAACGUGAGGAUCGGAUCAGCACACAAGCAGAGAUGUGCUACUUCAAGGACUCCCUUUAAAAUGAAAUCUUAGCCUGACUUCAUUUUUGGAAAGGAAGGAUUUCUUCAUCAACAGAAAUACCUAGGAAGAUGAAGCAGUCUGAAAAGGCCCUUACUUCAAGGCACAACUCUUCAUCUUAUAUCAUGGACUCUGCUAACUCAUCCAUCACCCCAAACCAACUUCAGACGUAAGGUCUGAAAUGAGAAGGGUUCCCACAG